rfam:Lactobacillus secaliphilus strain DSM 17896 NODE_24, whole genome shotgun sequence.
GAGCCGUUAGCUCAGUCGGUAGAGCAUCUGACUUUUAAUCAGAGGGUCGAGGGUUCGAUCCCCUCACGGCUCA